rnacentral:rRNA from 1 species
CUGAGAGGAUGAACGGCCACACUGGAACUGAGACACGGUACAGACUCCUACGGGAGGCAGCAGUGGGGAAUCUACCGCAAUGGACGAAAGUCUGACGGAGCAACGCCGCGUUGAGUGAUGACGGCCUUCGGGUUGUAAAGCUCUGUGAUCGGGGACGAAGGCUGGUAUGCUAAUACCAUAUCAGAGUGACGGUACCCGAAUAGCAAGC